GACGAACGCUGGCGGCGUGCUUAACACAUGCAAGUCGAACGGAAAGGCCCUGCUUUUGUGGGGUGCUCGAGUGGCGAACGGGUGAGUAACACGUGAGUAACCUGCCCUUGACUUUGGUAUAACUUCAGGAAACUGGGGCUAAUACCGGAUAGGAGCUCCUGCUGCAUGGUGGGGGUUGGAAAGUUUCGGCGGCUGGGGAUGGACUCGCGGCUUAUCAGCUUGUUGGUGGGGUAGUGGCUUACCAAGGCUUUGACGGGUAGCCGGCCUGAGAGGGUGACCGGCCAAAUUGGGACUGGGGGACGGGCCAGACUCCUACGGGAGGAAGGAGGGGGGAAAAUUGCAAAAUGGGCGGAAGCCUGAGGAAACAACGCCGGGGGCGGGAAGACGGCCUUCGGGUUGGAAACCGCUUUCGGCUGGGACGAAGCGUGAGUGACGGUAAUGGGUAAAGAAGCACCGGCUAAAUACGUG
rnacentral:rRNA from 1 species